rnacentral:misc_RNA from 1 species
UCGGAAGGUGCGGCUGGAUCACCUCCUUUCUCGGAAACCGGAGUCAGGUCGAGACGAAGAUCGGCAACGAUCAAGUCGAGCCUGCGCUCCCACUGUGAUGUCUAAAGUGCCCACAACCUAUCGGCUGCAGCAACAAGGCAGCGUCGGCGUGCCAGGACACCGGGCCUGUAGCUCAGUUGGUUAGAGCACCGUCUUGAUAAGGCGGGGGUCGAUGGUUCGAAUCCAUCCAGACCCACCAAAACACUCGGCGGCGGGGCAGCGUGGGGCGAGUUUCGAGAAGCGAGACGAUCAAGGCGCGAGCCGCCGACGUGUAGACCGAUAGCUACACGAGGCGGUGAGCAACGCAGAGCGGCGACGCUUAUCGAAAGUCGGAGGGGCUGUAGCUCAGUUGGGAGAGCACCUGCUUUGCAAGCAGGGGGUCGUCGGUUCGAUCCCGUCCAGCUCCACCAGUCAGGGCGGCAAACCAGCGCGAUGCAACAAGCCAGGGACGAGAGACCAUAGGCAAGCCGAAUGGCUUACCUCUGGUUUUUAGCCAGACCUGAAUAUCGGUUGUUCUUUAACAAUUGGGAAGAAGUAAAGGUCUUGCUCGGAAGGGCGGGCGUGGGCGUGAGCCUGGGCUUGGCUUAACGAGUGAGAUUGGGUUGGAUUGUAUUGUCCCUGUUCGUCCUGUGAGUUCGGGGUGGAUGGGGAGCGCGAACGCCCGUGAUGUUGAGCGAAUGUCAGUGCUCAGUGUUAUGGGGUCAAGCGACUAAGUGCAUGU